rnacentral:rRNA from 1 species
CAAUAGCGUAUAUUAAAGUUGUUGCGGUUAAAAAGCUCGUAGUUGGAUCUCGGCAGGCAGGGGGUGGUUCGCUCUUAGCGCUACUGCCCCAUUUGCCUGUGUGAUUGGCGGAGGUUUCGGGGUGCUCUUCGUUGAGUGACCCGGGGCGCCGUCAGGUUUACUUUGAAAAAAUUAGAGUGCUCAAAGCAGGCUUUUCACGCUUGAAUAUUCGUGCAUGGAAUAAUGGAAUAGGAACCCGUUUCUAUUUUGUUGGUUUUCGGAAAUCGAGUUAAUGAUUAAUAGGGACAAUUGGGGGCAUUAGUAUUCAGACGACAGAGGUGAAAUUCUUGGACCGUCUGAAGACUAACUACUGCGAAAGCACUUGCCAAGAGUGUUUUCAUUAA